rnacentral:rRNA from 1 species
UACAGAGGGUGCAAGCGUUGUUCGGAAUUAUUGGGCGUAAAGGGCGCGUAGGCGGUGCCACAAGUCACCUGUGAAAUCUCCGGGCUUAACUCGGAGCCUGCAGGCGAAACUGGCUCGCUGGAGUGUGGCAGAGGGGGGUGGAAUUCCGCGUGUAGCAGUGAAAUGCGUAGAGAUGCGGAGGAACACCGAUGGCGAAGGCAGCCCCCUGGGCUAACACUGACGCUCAGGCACGAAAGCGUGGGGAGCAAACAGG